rnacentral:rRNA from 1 species
CCUACGGGUGGCAGCAGUGGGGAAUAUUGGGCAAUGGGCGAAAGCCUGACCCAGUAACGCCGCGUGAAGGAAGAAGGCUUUCGGGUUGUAAACUACUUUUGACAGGGAAGAGAAGAAGACGGUACCUGUCGAAUAAGCCAGCGCUAACUAUGUGCCAGCAGCCGCGGUAAUAUGUAGGUGGCAAGCGUUGUCCGGAUUUACUGGGUGUAAAGGGCGUGUAGGCGGGAUAAUAAGUCAGUUGUGAAAUCCCGGGGCUCAACUGACGAACUGCAUUUGAAACUGUUGGUCUUGAGUAUCGGAGAGGCAGGCGGAAUUCCUAGUGUAGCGGUGAAAUGCGUAGAUAUUAGGAGGAACACCAGUGGCGAAGGCGACCUUCUGGACGACAACUGACGGUGAGGCGCGAAAGCGUGGGGAGCAAACAGGAUUAGAUACCCUAGUAGUC